ACGAACGUUGGCGGCGUGUUUAAGGCAUGCAAGUCGCACGAUCUUUUAUCAUUCGUGAUAUGAGAUAGUGGCAAACGGGAGAGGAACACAUUGGUAAUCUACCUUGAGGUCGUGAAUAAUUCCGCGAAAGCGGGACUAAUACACGAUGGACAAGGGGGGUCAUAAGACAUUCCCUUGUAAAGCUUCGGCGCCUCAAGAUGAGCCUAUGUCCUAUCAGCUUGUUGGUGAGGUAAUGGCUCACCAAGGCUCUGACGGGUACCGGGCGUGAGAGCGUGACCCGGCUCACUGGAACUGAGAUACGGUCCAGACACCUACGGGUGGCUGCAGUCAAGAAUCUUCCGCAAUGCACGAAAGUGUGACGGAGCGACGCCGCGUGGUGGAUGACGGCCUUCGGGUUGUAAACACCUUUUCUUAGGGACGAACAAAUGACGGUACCUAAGGAAUAAGAGGUUGCUAACUCUGU
rnacentral:rRNA from 1 species